rnacentral:ncRNA from 1 species
AUCUCUGUGAUGAUAAAGAGGAGUAGCUUAAAUUUUUUCUUUAGAGAGCUAGUGGUUGGUGGAAACUAGUGUCAAAAUUUAAGUGAAUGGACUUUUGAACAGUCAAACUAAACGGCAAUUUGCUCAGUAAGCUUUGACGGAGGUUGUUUCACCGUUAUCAUGAAACAGCGAUUAAUCAUAUUGAUCUGAUCGUUAAGUGAGCAUUUAAAUGCUAAUUAAGGUGGUACCACGGGUUUUCUCGUCCUUUAU